GGGCUUAUGAUGAUAUUUCAAAUAAUCUUAGCUAAUUUCAGUGAGAUUUUUUUUUAUCAAUGAUCUGAAUGUUACACACACUAAAGCCU
rfam:Cucumis melo, WGS project CAJI01000000 data, contig: 13438